rnacentral:rRNA from 1 species
UUGGUAAGGUAAUGGCUUACCAAGGCUACGAUCAAUAGCUGAUCUGAGAGGAUGAUCAGCCACAUUGGGACUGAGACACGGCCCAAACUUCUACGGAAGGCAGCAGUGGGGAGUCUUGCACAAUGGGGGAAACCCUGAUGCAGCGAUGCCGCGUGAGUGAAGAAGGCCUUUGGGUUGUAAAGCUCUUUCGUCGGGGAAGAAAAUGACUGUACCCGAAUAAGAAGGUCCGGCUAACUUCGUGCCAGCAGCCGCGGUAAUACGAAGGGACCUAGCGUAGUUCGGAAUUACUGGGCUUAAAGAGUUCGUAGGUGGUUAAAAAAGUUGGUGGUGAAAUCCCAGAGCUUAACUCUGGAACUGCCAUCAAAACUUUUUAACUAGAGUAUGAUAGAGGAAAGUGGAAUUUCUAGUGUAGAGGUGAAAUUCGUAGAUAUUAGAAAGAAUACCAAUUGCGAAGGCAGCUUUCUGGAUCAUUACUGACACUGAGGAACGAAAGCAUGGGUAGCGAAGAGGAUUAGAUACCCUCGUAGUCCAUGCCGUAAACGAUGUGUGUUAGACGUUGGAAAUUUAUUUUCAGUGUCGCAGCGAAAGCGAUAAACACACCGCCUGGGGAGUACGACCGCAAGGUUAAAACUCAAAUGAAUUGACGGGGACCCGCACAAGUAGUGGAGCAUGUGGUUUAAUUCGAAGAUACGCGCAGAACCUUACCAACACUUGACAUGUUCGUCGCGACUCUAAGAGAUUAGAGUUUUCGGUUCGGCCGGACGAAACACAGGUGCUGCAUGGCUGUCGUCAGCUCGUGUCGUGAGAUGUUGGGUUAAGUCCC